UGCAGCAGUCGCGCAGUACUUAAGCGGAAGUGACGUAUUUUCCAUAGGCAACACGCGCCAAUAGGGACAUUACAAGGUUUUAAUUAUGUCAGGAAGACAAGGAGGAAAAAAGAAGCCCUUGAAGCAGGCAAAGAAGGGACCCAAAGAUUUGGAUGAAGAAGAUUUGGCAUUCAAACAGAAGCAAAAGGAAGAACAGAAAGCCCUGCAAGAAUUAAAACAGAAAGCUGCAAAAGGGGGACCUUUAGCUGGUGGUGGAAUAAAAAAAUCUGGGAAAUAACACCUUACCAUUAAUAUUCUCACUCCGAAGAUGAAGCUUCUUUUCAC